rnacentral:rRNA from 1 species
CUCGGGUUUUAAAGUACUUUGGCAGGAAGAAAAGGUAUCCCUUAUUCGGGAUACUGCUGACGGUUUCUGCAGAAUAAGCAUCGGGUAAUUACGUGCCAGCAGCCGCGGUUAUUUCGUAGGGUGCAAGCGUUAAUCGGAAUUACUGGGCGUAAAGCGUGCGUAGGCGGUUUGGAAAGAAAGAUGUGAAAUUCCCAGGGCUCAACCUUGGAACUGCAUUUUUAACUGCCGAGCUAGAGUAUGUCAGAGGGGGGUAGAAUUCCACGUGUAGCAGUGAAAUGCGUAGAUAUGUGGAGGAAUACCGAUGGUGAAGGCAGCCCCCUGGGAUAAUACUGACGCUCAGACACGAAAGCGUGGGGAGCAAACAGGAUUAGAUACCCUGGUAGUCCACGCCCUAAACGAUGUCAACUAGCUGUUGGGGCCGUUAGGCCUUAGUAGCGCAGCUAACGCGUGAAGUUGACCGCCUGGGGAGUACGGUCGCAAGAUUAAAACUCAAAGGAAUUGACGGGGACCCGCACAAGCGGUGGAUGAUGUGGAUUAAUUCGAUGCAACGCGAAAAACCUUACCUACCCUUGACAUGUCUGGAAAGCCGAAGAGAUUUGGCCGUGCUCGCAAGAGAACCGGAACACAGGUGCUGCAUGGCUGUCGUCAGCUCGUGUCGUGAGAUGUUGGGUUAAGUCCCGCAACGAGCGCAACCCUUGUCAUUAGUUGCUACGCAAGAGCACUCUAAUGAGACUGCCGGUGACAAACCGGAGGAAGGUGGGGAUGACGUCAAGUCCUCAUGGCCCUUAUGGGUAGGGCUUCACACGUCAUACAAUGGUCGGGACAGAGGGUCGCCAACCCGCGAGGGGGAGCCAAUCUCAGAAACCCGAUCGUAGUCCGGAUCGCAGUCUGCAACUCGACUGCGUGAAGUCGGAAUCGCUAGUAAUCGCGGAUCAGAAUGUCGCGGUGAAUACGUUCCCGGGUCUUGUACACACCGCCCGUCACACCAUGGGAGUGGGUUUCACCAGAAGUAGGUAGCCUAACCGUAAGGAGGGCGCUUACCACGGUGGGAUUCAUGACUGGGGUGAAGUCGUAACAAGAGCCUCGCC